GAUGAAGAACGCAGCGAAAUGCGAUACUUGGUGUGAAUUGCAGAAUCCCGCGAAUCAUCGAGUUUUUGAACGCAAGUUGCGCCCGAAGCCAUUCGGCCGAGGGCACGUCUGCCUGGGUGUCACGCAUCGUUGCCCCCCCCAAACUCCGGUUCGGGCAGGGCGGAAGUUGGCCUCCCGUGCGUGCCUGCGCGCGCGGUUAGCCCAAAAGCGAGUCCUCGGCGACGAGCGCCACGACAAUCGGUGGUUUUUUUACCCUCGUUCCUCGUCGUGCGUGUCCCGUCGCCCGAACGCGCUCUUGUGACCCUCACGCGUCGCCUCGGCGGCGCUCCCAACGCGACCCCAGGUCAGGCGGGACUACCCGCUGAGUUUAAGCAUAUCAAUAAGCGGAGGA
rnacentral:misc_RNA from 1 species